rnacentral:rRNA from 1 species
UCCAAGAUUAUUAGUCAAUGCUCGUAAGAGUGAACCUAGCUAACUGAAUCAUAGAAUUUUUUUUAAGUUCAUGAUGUCGUAAGGGAAAAUAAUGAUAAUACCUUACUAUGAGUGUCGUCCAAAUCUGGUGCCAGAAGACUCGGUAAGACCAGAGACGCAAACGUUAAUCAUCAUAAACAGGCGUAAAGGGUUUGUAGGCAGCUUUUAUAAGAUUAAAAAAAUUAAUUUAAUUGAAAGCUAGAAUCAAAAAGAGGUUAUAGUGUAUAACGCCUAGAGGAGGGCUGAUAUCCAUAGAUCCUAGGCAGAAUACUUAGGGCGAAGGCCACUCUCCACUAAUGAUUGACGCUGAGAAACGAAGGUUAGGGUAGGAAAUAGGAUUAGAUACCCCGGUACUCCUUUCUGUAAACGAUGAAUGGUAGUCAUUAGUUAAAUUAAAUAACUAGAGGCGAAGUUAACACAAUAACCAUUCCGCCUUGUGAGUACUACUGCAAAGUAGAAAACAAAAAAAUUAGUCGGUCUCGAAGCAAACGGAGUGAAGCAUGUUAUUUAAUUCGAUAAAUCGAAA